rnacentral:rRNA from 1 species
UACGAAGGGGGCUAGCGUUGUUCGGAAUUACUGGGCGUAAAGCGCGUGUAGGCGGGUCUGUAAGUCAGUGGUGAAAUCUCCGUGCUUAACAUGGAAACUGCCAUUGAUACUAUAGGUCUUGAAUUUUCCGGAGGUCAGCGGAAUAUGUCAUGUAGCGGUGAAAUGCUUAGAUAUGACAUAGAACACCGAUUGCGAAGGCAGCUGACUACAGGGAUAUUGACACUGAGGCACGAAAGCGUGGGGAUCAAACAGG